rnacentral:rRNA from 1 species
CCUACGGGAGGCAGCAGUGGGGAAUUUUCCGCAAUGGGCGAAAGCCUGACGGAGCAAUACCGCGUGAGGGAUGAAGGCCUAUGGGUUGUAAACCUCUUUUUUCAGGGAGGAAUAAAUGACGUGUACCUGAAGAAUAAGCAUCGGCUAACUCCGUGCCAGCAGCCGCGGUAAGACGGGGGAUGCAAGUGUUAUCCGGAAUCACUGGGCGUAAAGCGUCUGUAGGUGGUUAAAUAAGUCAACUGUUAAAUCUUGAGGCUUAACUUCAAAAUCGCAGUCGAAACUGUUUGACUAGAGUAUAGUAGGGGUAAAGGGAAUUUCCAGUGGAGCGGUGAAAUGCGUAGAUAUUGGAAAGAACACCGAUGGCGAAGGCACUUUACUGGGCUAUUACUAACACUGAGAGACGAAAGCUAGGGUAGCAAAUGGGAUUAGAUACCCCAGUAGUCCUAGCUGUAAACAAUGGAUACUAGAUGUUGAACAGAUCGACCUGUGCAGUAUCAAAGCUAACGCGUUAAGUAUCCCGCCUGGGAAGUAUGCUCGCAAGNGUGAAACUNAAAGGAUUGUAAGGNGUGAGAGUGCGAGACGACGACGAGGAGAGG